rnacentral:rRNA from 1 species
AGAACGAACGCUGGCGGCAGGCUUAACACAUGCAAGUCGAACGCUCGUAGCAAUACGGGAGUGGCAGACGGGUGAGUAACGCGUGGGAACAUACCCUCCGGUUCGGAAUAGCUCAGGGAAACUUGGAUUAAUACCGGAUACGGCCGAGAGGCGAAAGAUUUAUCGCCGGAGGAUUGGCCCGCGUUCGAUUAGCUAGUUGGUGAGGUAACGGCUCACCAAGGCGAUGAUCGAUAGCUGGUCUGAGAGGAUGAUCAGCCACAUUGGGACUGAGACACGGCCCAAACUCCUACGGGAGGCAGCAGUGGGAAUAUUGGACAAUGGGCGCAAGCCUGAUCCAGCCAUGCCGCGUGAGUGAUGACGGCCUUAGGGUUGUAAAGCUCUUUCGCUCGGGACGAUAAUGACGGUACCGAGAUAAGAAGCCCCGAUAACUUCGUGCCAGCAGCCGC